UCCUGCUGGGGUCCAACUGGCCCCUGUCAAAGGACAAACGCAGAGGGCUGGCCUUGGCUUUGUCCAUACUGACGAUGCGGACCAGCUUCUGUGGUCCCCCAGAAGAUGGCUAAAGGAGGGACAGAGAAAGGAUGAGGAGGAGCUGUUGAAGCCAUCAACAGGAAUGGGAAUUCAGGGGAGAUGAUUGGCACUAGGGCGACCUGGGAGUGAUGCAGAGGCGCAGAUGCUCUGAGAACAGCCUGAGUGCCUCCUGCCACCCUGCCAGCACCGAGCCCCUCUUCCAGCCCACCCCAGUGGGGUCCAGGCCCCUCCCUGGAGCCUCACCUUGCGGGUCACGGUGCACUGCUGAGUCAUGUCCUGGAUGAGGGCUAUGAGCUGCUGCUGAGCCCUGCAGAGACCAGCAGAGGCCCUGACCCAGCUGCCUCCUGCCAGGAGGAGGAAGCCGAGGCAGGCUGGGUGCCAUUUCCCUGUGGGCCUCUCUGGGGACGCACCGAGCUCGAGGCAGCUGCUCACCUGGAGUAGUUGGGGAUGGUGCCGUGCGCGGCAGCAGCAGAAGCCGUCCACCCUCCUGAGAAGCCCCACGGCCUCCUCCAGGGUCGUGUCCUCCAGGACUGCCUUGAACAAGGGCUCUGAGGCUUCGUAAUCA
ensembl:lncRNA novel transcript, antisense to CARD14